AGAGUUUGAUCCUGGCUCAGAACGAACGCUGGCGGCGCGCCUAAUACAUGCAAGUCGAGCGAGAAGGUGUAGUGAUACACUUGUAAAGCGGCGAACGGGUGAGGAAUACAUGGGUAAUCUACCAUCGAGUGGGGAAUAACCAACCGAAAGGUUGGCUAAUACCGCGUACGCCUCCGGAUCUUCGGGUUCGGAGGGAAAGCUGCACUGUGAGUGUAGCGCUCUUUGAUGAGCUCAUGUCCUAUCAGCUUGUUGGUAGGGUAACGGCCUACCAAGGCUUUGACGGGUAGCUGGUCUGAGAGGACGAUCAGCCACACUGGCACUGCGACACGGGCCAGACUCCUACGGGAGGCAGCAGUAAGGAAUAUUGCGCAAUGGGCGAAAGCCUGACGCAGCGACGCCGCGUGGGGGAUGAAGGUCUUCGGAUUGUAAACCCCUUUCGGGAGGGAAGAUGGAGCGAGCAAUCGUUCGGACGGUACCUCCAGAAGCAGCCACGGCCAACUUCGUGCCAGCAGCCGCGGUAAUACGAAGGUGGCAAGCGUUGUUCGGAUUCACUGGGCGUACAGGGUGUGUAGGCGGUUUGGUAAGCCUUCUGUUAAAGCUUCGGGC
rnacentral:rRNA from 1 species